GAAAAAUCCCCAAUUCUCAGCUGCUUCUUUAAUCUUGGAAACGAGGACGUUUCUUGCAGCAGAUGUGUUACCAUCUCCGAGGUCAAUGAUUGGGACAGUGAGGUUUAAGCCAAAGAUAUCAGAAGGUUUGUUGUUAGAUAAAGUUGAAGAAGAAGGGAUAUGGAAGAUUCGAGGAACUUCGGUUAUUUUGGUAUCGACAAGUCCUUUCACACCUGCUUUUGUCGAUACAAAAGCCUUGAGUUCGUUCAAACGAACGAGUUCUGCAGAUUUUUCUGUCAUGAUGUUUUGUUUUUUUCUGUCUACGUACGUUGAGAGAGGAAGUAAAGACAGAAGCGUAGUCGUGAAGAUAAGAAUUUUUGAAGUUAG